rnacentral:misc_RNA from 1 species
CCGACGGUGUAAAACGACGCUAUGCCUGAAAGAAAAGCUCUUCCCGACGUUUUAAAAAGACGUUAUGCAUGAAAGUAAUGUUCAUAACUUCCCUUUAGAAUUARSKGCCGYYGAGUYUCCRUYUAUAAAUGGAUAAUAUUUUGGUGUUAAAGUAUACUAGUUUUUGAAAGUAAAAGAGCAAUAUCAGCAGAGUUGAUAUUGCUCUUUUACUUUUCAGAGUCUUUUUUUUUUUACAACAUUUUUAUACUUAUACAUAACAUAAAUUGKGGAUUUAUUAUAAUAUUUUUUAGCAUUCUUUAUUUCAACAUAAGAGAUACAAAAAAUGAAUCUUCCCCCGCCCCCCCCCUUUUUUUCUUAGAAGACGAGUAAAAACUUAUAAAAAAAAGAAUGCGAACGAAACAGUACAAAUUAAAGUYUCAGUAAUUUUCNACAUGACAAAGGGGCGGAUGUAGCCAAGUGGAUCAGGGGGGG